AGUCGUGGAGCCGUAGCGAAAGCGAGUUUUAAAUGGCGUAUAGUUGUGUAGGGUAGACGCGAAACCAAGUGAUCUAUCCGUGUCCAGACUGAAGUGAGGGUAAAACCUCAUGGAGGGUCCAACGGAGAAAUGGUGAAAAAUUUCCCGAUGAGGUACGGAUAGGAGUGAAAGGCCAAUCAAACUUGGAGAUAGCUCGUACUCCCCGAAAUGCAUUUAGGUGCAGCCUUUAUGGUUAAGUACACGAGGUAGAGCGACUGAUUGGAUGCGAGAGCUUCACCGCUUAUCAAAUCCGGACAAACUCCGAAUGCGUGUAUGAAUUCAUGAAGAGUGAGGGUGCGGGAGCUAAGUUCCGUAUCCGAGAGGCAAAGAAGCCGGACCAUCAGCUAAGGCCCCCAAAUGAUGUCUAAGUUGAAUGAACGAAGUCGCAAUGCAGAGACAGCUAGGAUGUUGGCUUGGAAGCAGCCAUUCAUUUAAAGAGUGCGUAACAGCUCACUAGUCGAGGAUUGUGGCGUGGAUAAUAAUCGGGCAUAAGACAUCUGCCGAAGCUAUGGGAUCGAAAGAUCGGUAGGGGAGCAUUCCAGCGAGGUCGAAGGUGUGAGGUGACUCAUGCUGGACUCUCUGGAAGAGCAAAUGUAGGUAUAAGUAACGAUAAAGGAAGUGAGAAUCUUCCUCGCCGAAAGACUAAGGUUUCCUCUUCAACGUUCGUCGGAAGAGGGUUAGUCGGGGGUAGUAAAGUACGUCCCAGAGCCGAACCUGAUAGUACCGGGAAUCUACGGAGGAACGGAUAGAGGUGUAAGCAGACUUCCAAGAAAAGUUGCUACAUGAUUGAUGUGUAAGCACUCGUACCACAAACCGACACAGGUAGUUGGGUUGAGUAUACUAAGGCGCGCGAGAUAGGCGUGGUUAAGGAACUAGGCAAAAUGGAUCUGUAACUUCGGGAAAAAGAUCGCCCUCCUCCGGGAGGGUUGCAGAGAAUAGGCUCAAGCGACUGUUUACCAAAAACAUAGGGCUGUGCGAAAUAGAAAUAUGCAGUAUACAGCCUGACACCUGCCCGGUGCCGGAAGGUUAAGAGGAGAGGUCAUCCGUAAGGAGAAGCCUUGAAUUGAAGCCCCGGUAAACGGCGGCCGUAACUAUAACGGUCCUAAGGUAGCGAAAUUCCUUGUCGGGUAAGUUCCGACCUGCACGAAUGGUAGGAUAGGCCGGAGGCUGUGAUGUGGCGUCGCCAGAUGUCAUGGAGUCAUUGGUGAAAUACGGCCCUUUUGGUAUUUGAAUACUAACUCGCAAGAGCGAGGACAAUGUAUGGUGGGUAGUUUGACUGGGGCGGUCGCCUCCAAAAAAGUAUCGGAGGCUUCUAAAGGUACCCUCAAGACGAUUGGUAACCGUCUGUAAGAGUGUAAUGGCAGAAGGGUGCUUGACUGGGAGACUAACAAGUCGCACAGGUAGGAAACUAGAGCAUAGUGAUCCGGUGGUUCCGCAUGGUAGGGCCAUCGCUCAAAGGAUAAAAGGUACUCCGGGGAUAACAGGCUGAUCACUCCCAAGAGCUCAUAUCGACGGAGUGGUUUGGCACCUCGAUGUCGGCUCGUCACAUCCUGGGGCUGGAGAAGGUCCCAAGGGUUGGGCUGUUCGCCCA
rnacentral:rRNA from 1 species